GACGAACGCUGGCGGCGUGCCUAAUACAUGCAAGUUGAGCGAUGAAGAUUGGUGCUUGCACCAAUUUGAAGAGCAGCGAACGGGUGAGUAACGCGUGGGGAAUCUGCCUUUGAGCGGGGGACAACAUUUGGAAACGAAUGCUAAUACCGCAUAACAACUUUAAACAUAAGUUUUAAGUUUGAAAGAUGCAAUUGCAUCACUCAAAGAUGAUCCCGCGUUGUAUUAGCUAGUUGGUGAGGUAAAGGCUCACCAAGGCGAUGAUACAUAGCCGACCUGAGAGGGUGAUCGGCCACAUUGGGACUGAGACACGGCCCAAACUCCUACGGGAGGCAGCAGUAGGGAAUCUUCGGCAAUGGACGAAAGUCUGACCGAGCAACGCCGCGUGAGUGAAGAAGGUUUUCGGAUCGUAAAAAUCUGUUGGUAGAGAAGAACGUUGGUGAGAGUGGAAAGCUCAUCAAGUGACGGUAACUACCCAGAAAGGGACGGCUAACUACGUG
rnacentral:rRNA from 1 species